rnacentral:lncRNA from 1 species
GUGGGUUUCUUUGUUCUCAACUUUUGCAUGAUCCUAUUGUUGAUUCUCAACUGACCAGCUACAAAAGACUAAACAACAAAGUGCAGUGGGAAUUGGCUGACACUGUGAACAAAGAUUGAAAAAAGAAAAAUGGGAGAAAAAUUUUCAAAGAGAUUAGAUAGCAUCCAGGCUUAAAGUCAAACUUGAUACACUGUUUUCCAUUUUGUGCUUAUGAAAGUGAAUUUGUCUAGUUGCAC